GUUGAAACACAGGUUCUUGUACGAUCACCGGUGUUAAGCAACAUCGAGCAUGGUCAGUACGUAAAUGGGUGACCGCUUGAGAACACCAUGUGCUGUAAU